rnacentral:tRNA from 1 species
ACCAGGAUGGCCAAGUGGUUAUGGUGUUGGACUUAAGAUCCAAUGAAUGAGUAACCAUAUGGGUUCAAACUCAACUCUUGGUA